rnacentral:rRNA from 1 species
AUACGGAGGAUGCGAGCGUUAUCCGGAUUUAUUGGGUUUAAAGGGAGCGUAGGUGGGAUAUUAAGUCAGCUGUGAAAGUUUGGGGCUCAACCUUAAAAUUGCAGUUGAUACUGGUUUCCUUGAGUACGGUACAGGUGGGCGGAAUUCGUGGUGUAGCGGUGAAAUGCUUAGAUAUCGCGAAGAACUCCGAUCGCGGAGGCAGCUCACCGGGCUGGAACUGACACUGAUGCUCGAAAGUGCGGGUAUCAAACAGGAUUAGAUACCCUGGUAGUCCGCACAGUAAACGAUGAAUACUCGCUGUUUGCGAUACACGGUAAGCGGCCAAGCGAAAGCGUUAAGUAUUCCACCUGGGGAGUACGCCGGCAACGGUGAAACUCAAAUGAAUUGGCGGGG